rnacentral:rRNA from 1 species
CUCUGCGAGAAGUCCAUUGAACCUUAUCAUUUAGAGGAAGGAGAAGUCGUAACAAGGUUUCCGUAGGUGAACCUGCGGAAGGAUCAUUGCCGAGAUCGAUUGUGCGAUUCUGAAAACUUGUGAGAUAAUUAUGAUAAAAUAUGUUAUAGUCACGACCUCAUCUAUUUCGAUGGCAGGUUGCGAUGAAUGGCAGAUGAAAAAACUCAAAUCGAUGCAAUUCAGCAUCAAGGGAAUAUAAAAACAUGAGCUCGUGAUCGGGCUUUUGGAGUGGAGUGCGGAUGCACAUUAUAUGGAUUGACAAGACUCUCAACAAUGGAUAUCUUGGGUCUCGCAUCGAUGAAGAGCGCAGCGAAAUGUGAUAUAUGGUGUGAAUUGCAGAAUCCCGCGAGCCAUCGAGUCUUUGAACGCAAGUUGCGCCUGAGGCCAAUAGGCCAAGGGCACGUCUGCCUGGGCGUCAAGCGUUUUGUAGCUCUGUGCAACUCCAUCUUGCCAACGGGCAUGUUGGAUGAUGCUUGGAUGCGCAUAUUGGCUCGUCGUGGUCAUUAGUGCGGCGGGAUAAAGUACGGGUUAUUGUCUCAUUGCCAUAAGCAACAAUGGGUGGAUAAAUGCCUUGAGCAAGUCCUAUAUUGCCUUGUGGCAUCUCGAGAAAAUAUUUUAUACCUCGGAGGUGAUCCCAACCCAUCCGUUAAUCUGCAUAUGACGGCUUGGAAUGCGACCUCAGGAUGGCGAGGCCACCCGCUGAGUUUAAGCAUAUCAA